rnacentral:snRNA from 1 species
AUACUUACCUGGCAGGGGAGAUACCAUGAUCACGAAGGUGGUUUUCCCAGGGCGAGGCUUAUCCAUUGCACUCCGGAUGUGCUGACCCCUGCGAUUUUCCCAAAUGUGGGAAACUCAACUGCAUAAUUUGUGGUAGUGGGGGACUGUGUUCGCGCUUUCCCCUG